rnacentral:rRNA from 1 species
AAGCGGGGAUACUCCUAUAAGACGAAAAGACCCCAUGGAGCUUCAAACCCAACUACACCCUUAACUACCACAACCGCACAACCUCUUAGGGCCCUGUAUAGUUGGUUUUAGGUUGGGGCGACCACGGAGUACAACCAAACCUCCGCAAUGGACGGGACCACUCCCUUAUCUAAGAGCCACACCUCUAAGAAUUAAAACACUAACAUAAAAUGAUCCAUGAUCUGAUCAAUGAACCAAGUUACCCUGGGGAUAACAGCGCAAUCCAUUUCAAGAGCCCUUAUCGACAAGUGGGUUUACGACCUCGAUGUUGGAUCA